ACGCCUAUCGUCGCAACAAUGGACAAGCAAAAGGGGAAGGCGAGUGGGAAGGAGAAGGAGAAAGAGAGGACGUUGGACUCCAUUAUGAAGAGAAAGUUGCCGAGCUCGGGGAUGCAGAAGGGGAAUGGGAAGGGCAAUGCAGCAGCUACUACACGGCUGCCGAGGAAGCUGACAAAUGAUUCCAGCAAUGUCCCAAUCGCUGAGUUGUUGUAUAGGGUAAAAAAGAAACCUCCGCCUUGACGUCUCCCUAACCCCACCGGCGCUGGCGUGCGUGCCGGAAUCGCCGUUGCCUCCGGCUCUGCAAACUACUAUGAGAGGGAGGCUACAUCUUCGCAGGCAAUGAAGCAUGAUAAGCAAGCGGAGGAGGAUCAUGAAGAGGUGGAAGAGGACGAGGAGGAGGACGAGGAAGAGCAAGAUACUUUGUUUGAGGUGCCGCCUGGGGUUGGUGACAAAUCAGAUUCAGAUGGGUUUGUGGAUAGUGAAGAAGAAGCCUUCGAAGGUGAUAAGCAAGUGAAGAAGAAGCCUUCGAAGGUGAUGUAAUGUCCGAGAACUUAGAUAUGUCUACUUGUGUGGUUUUAGAUGACUACAGGAGUUCUUUGAAACCAGAAAUGGUCGAAGCCUUGGUGUGUGGUGCUAGUUAUAUCAAAGGUUCUCACAAGGACUUCAAUGUGGUGGAGAGGGAUGAAGAUGAGGAGGACGAUGUUGAGAAUAUCAAGUUGCCCAAGAUUGUUGAUGUGGGGGGUGACAACAAUUGAUAUUCGCCAUGUGGGUGUUGCUCUUGAUAUUUUGAAGAUGGAUGUCUACAUGAUCUUCUCAUGUGGAUUGUUGAGGUCAACGUGAUAAUUUCGUGCCAUUCUUUUGUUGUGAUGAACUUCGAAUUAUGUGUGCUGUUGUGAUGAACUAUGGACCUUGAAUGAUGUUGUGAUGAACCAUGCACUUUCAACAAUGUUGUUGUGAACUUGUGAUGAACUAUGAACUUUGGAUUAUGUGGUUUUCACUAGUCAUUGUUUGGCUGUCAACAUUUUCUCAGUUUUAUGUCAAAGUGGUAAGUGUUAUGCUAUGCAAAAUUUCCUUGUUUGGCUGUCAAUAUUUGAUGUUUUCCUGUGUAAAGUUCCAGUGAAGUGUUGUCCAAAAUUCAAUAGAAAUGCUGCCCAAUUCUUUCUCUCAUAUGUGUUCCAUUGUUACAAUUUUUGUAGAAGAAUUCAUAUAAGAACAUUAUUUUUCAUUACUAUGACCAUUUCUUAAAACAAUAGACUGCUGGAU
rnacentral:rRNA from 1 species